rnacentral:rRNA from 1 species
UACGUAGGGGGCUAGCGUUGUCCGGAAUCAUUGGGCGUAAAGCGCGUGUAGGCGGUCCGGUAAGUCCGCUGUGAAAGUCGGGGGCUCAACCCUCGAAUGCCGGUGGAUACUGUCGGGCUAGAGUGCGGAAGAGGCGAGUGGAAUUCCUGGUGUAGCGGUGAAAUGCGCAGAUAUCAGGAAGAACACCCGUGGCGAAGGCGGUUCUCUGGGACGGUACUGACGCUGGAGACGCGAAAGCGUGGGGAGCGAACAGG